UUUUGUGGUAAGAAGGUACAGAAAUUGGACAGCUGUCCAUUUUUAUGUUUGGGAAAGAUGUCGUUUCCUAAUUUUUAGAGAAUGCUGACAGAUUCCCUUUGUACCUUGAUACUUAACCCUUUUUGCACCCUUACUCUAUAUAUGCACACACUUUCUACCAUUACAUAUACACAUAGACACACCAAAAUUUCCCUAAAAACACAGAGUCUCCAAUGUCUUUUCCCUUGAUUUUCAAAUAACUUUUUCUAGAAAACUAGCUUUGAUAUUUCAGAAACACCAAAAAAAAAUAUUACUUUCCCUUUUUUCCAAAUCAUAAUGUUUCCUUACUCUACUGAGUUUCAAGUUUGAAAUUGGGAGCUCUUUUGAUUCUCCAUUUAAGUGUUCUUGCUGCUGCUUUUUUGCUCGAAUUGUCAGAGAUUUGUUUUCUCUCUUUAUUUUGGUUUCUUGCUGCUAUCAAGGUAUAUUGCCAAGACAUGAUAUGGUGAAGAGGAUGAAGACAUCACCUCUGAAGACAAUAAAAGAAAUGUAGAGCCGCCAAAGUUGCUGGUGUCCAUCCAUCUUCAAAUGAGAAGGUUCUUUUGAAGAAUGGACCAUAUAGAUACUAUGUUCAGCUCGGAUGAAUACAUUUUCCAUGAUCAAGUUGAAGGAUAUCACUUCUGUUACCUUGGAAGAUACCUUGGAGUUGCUGUGUUACCCUGUAACAUUAGUAUGUUUGAAUAUGUACUCCCUUUUUUUUCAAGUUAUUUCUGUCUUCAGUUUUAGUUUUCUCUAUCACUGGUUAUCAGCAUGCAUACAAAUGAUGAAUGGGUCUUGUUUACAGGGAAACCAUCCAGAUGAUGUUGGACUUUAAAGCAUUGGGCUUUAAAGACUAAGAGUGUGAAUUGGGAAAUGGUGGGAAAUAAAAUAGAGGGAAAUGAAAAUUUAAAUCAAGUGAACUUUUGUCGAACUUUGUACCAUAUUGGUGAAAGACAACUACACUUGUGUGUAUAAAUAUAAGAUCACUUCUUAGAGCUCUUAAAAGGAGUUGACGAGAAUGAACCCUCGCGCCGUCGUCGUCGCUCGGCUUCGGCUUCGGAUUUGUCAAAUGAUCGAUAGAUAAGAUUAAUUAAAUGUCAGUCAGUUCAUUAACGAAAUUAACUGAAAUCCAAAACAAUGCUGAACGUUUACUUUCCCUUCUGAACAGACAUCACACCUCUUCCAAUAAUUGCCUAUAAAUUCUGAGGCAUGGCUUCCAUUUCAUUUACUGAAAAUCAACUUCUGAAUACUGCACUCUUCUUCGCAGUAUCUCUCUCUCUCAAAUUCGUAAGUGUGAUUUUGCUCCGUUCUUUGAGUUUGUUGGUAUCCUGCAGCUUGUAUUGCCAUUGUUGCAGGAAGGUUUAUUCCGUUUCAUCCUGGGAGGAUUUAAUCCAUUACCUUGGCAACUUAUGAGGGGGUUAAAA